rnacentral:rRNA from 1 species
GACGAACGCUGGCGGCGUGCUUAACACAUGCAAGUCGAACGGAAAGGCCCUGCUUUUGUGGGGUGCUCGAUUGGCGAACGGGUGAGUAACACGUGUGUAACCUGCCCUUGACUUUGUGAUAUCUUCAUGAAACUGGGUCUAAUACCGGAUAUGAGCUCCUGCUGCAUGUUGUGGGUUGGUAAGUUUCGGCGGUUGGGGAUUGACUCGCGGCUUAUCAGCUUGUUGGUGGGGUAGUGGCUUACCAAGGCUUUGACGGGUAGCCGGCCUGUGAGGGUGACCGGCCACAUUGGGACUGAGAUACGGACCAGACGCCUACGGGAGGCAGCAGUGGGGAAUAUUGCACAAUGGGCGGAAGCCUGAUGAAGAAACGCCGCGUGCGGGAUGACGGCCUUCGGGUUGUAAACCGAUUUCGCCUGUGACGAAGAGUGAGUGACGGUAAUGGGUAAAGAAGCACCGGCUAACUACGUG